UCGGCUUUAAUAACACCUCUCGAGUCGCAUACGGGACUUUGGGGGCGGGUUUUGGCGGGAAAAUCUGUAAUGUUUGGAGAAGACAAGAUGGCGCUGGACUCUGGUUGCCUCGUGUUAUAUUAAAGGGCAUUUUUGUUUACAAAUACCCGCUUAUUUUACGUUUUAGCGACUCGUUAGUCUUGAAAAUUAUAACUCAAUGGACAGGGAAAACGAUUCUGUAUUAAGGAGAAAAAGAUGUGCAGUUAUUGUGAUGUUAUUUGUUGUGAAAGACGGCCCGAAAUUUCGCUACUUCGCUUUACUGGUUUAUAAAACAUUUAAAAGCAACAGCAAUUGAACUAUAUCACAAAGGAACCGAUGUAUACAAGCCAAUCAAGUUCUUCAGUUUAAAGGUCAGUUUACUUUUUAAUAAUUAGUUCAUUUAGUUGUAUAUUAAUACGAAAUACUCCAGGGUGCAUUCCGUGUAAACCUCACGCCGAAGAUAAUCUGAGGUAGUGUUACCGUGCGCCAAGUGAGGUCAACUUAUGCGCCGGCUGAUCGCGGGCACCAUGAUUUUUCAUUAAUAGUUAGUUGCUUAAAAUUUAAACUUGCUAAAAAGGCGUGUAACGCACUGAUGAAUAAAAUGUUUUGCUGAUGAGCAAUGAUGAGUGUUGUUACUGUUGUAUCACAAGUUAUAACCACCAUUUAGCUACUAUUACAACCAGAAACACAAAUUUCUGGAGUCCCUAAAUAAUUAUAGAGGCCAAUCACCAGGCGAUUAUUAAUACUCAAAGUCUCGCUUAAACAUUUGAUGCUGCGCCAACCACCAAAACUAAAAACUUGUGCGCCAACCUCGACGUGAUUGUGCGCCAGCAAUUCAAAACUCACGCCGAAGAUCUUCCACAAAACGUGCAUGGAAUGCACUCUGGGAAAUACUGGAACAGUACGCUGUACGCCAAGUUUGAUUUGCUAUAUUGAAAUUUGUACUGUAGUCGGAAUAAGAUAAGGUAUGGAUAAACAGAGCCCAACCCCUUCUCUAACCCUAACCAAUAAAUGUGUAAUGAACUAUUUGAGAGUUAAAAAGGUUGGGGGGGAAUUUUAAAAUAUUUUAAUGUACAUAUCAACGGCACAGAAUAAGGCACACAGAAGGGCCACUUACGUCCGGAGCUUAAAUUGAAGUUUCUGUCACCCUGGCCGCCAUCUUCCUAGCCAGUCGAUUACAUUUUCUGGCCAAUAAACGCGCUGUAUUGGCUGGCCGCCAUCUUCCUGGCCAGUCAAUUGCAUAUUUUUGCAUAGAAAAAUGGUGACACGUUGCACCACUGAGCGGCCCUUCUGGUACUGAUCUUUAUUCUGUGUCAACGGCCUGCCCGGCACGUUUUACGCAAUAGUUAUUGCAGUAAUACUUUCACACACCCCGGUAUUUUUUUUUCGAAUUUUAACAAAUUAAGAAUUUUUAGUGUUCUGGUGUUCCGUGUUCUGGAAUGAUGCUGUUCCGGUGUUCCGUUGUUCCUGGUUUUACUAAUAGCCAGAAUUUGAUACUUCUCACACACUGCUGGGAGCGUCAAGCGUUGCGGAAGCAACAACAACAUGUGCUGUCUUAACCUGCACCACCCGAACACACCCGAUUCACAAUCGGGCUCCCAGCCUUGUGUGAGAAAACAUUUUCUGCUUCUUUCGUACCUCAGCCAGCAGAAAAUAACACUUUUGUGUGCGUAAAAAUUUGAUAUUUUUUGUGAGCGUGAAAUUUGAUACUUUUUGUGGCGUGAAAUUGAUAUUUUUGUGAGCGUGAAAUUUGAUACUUUUUGUGGCGUGAAAUUUGAUACUUUUUGUGGCGUGAAAUUUGAUAUUUUUUGUGUGCGUGAAAAUUUGAUAUUUUGAUCACGGAUUUUAAUAUUUAAUGCGUGCAUUUAUAUAUUUGUUACAGAUUUUUUUACAUAAAUUGUCCGUGACUUUGGUAUAACGUUUGACGACUUGAUAUUAUUUGGAACGUUUCAUAUUUAUAUUGCGAGUUUUGGUAUUUUAAUAUUGGCUUUGAUAUUAUAUCUACAACUUUCAUAAUAUUGUCCGUAACGGAACGCCAUAUCCAAAUGUAUUGAUUUUCGUUUUCAAUAACUUUAAAAUGCAAUAAGGCCAAUAACGUCUAUAACGACUAUAACGCCUAUAACGCCAAUAACGUUUAUAAUGCCUAUAACGUUUAUAAUGCCUAUAAUGCCUAUAACGCCAAUAACGUCUAUAACGUCAAUAACGCCAAUAACGACUAUAACGUCUAUAACAGAAUAUCAUGUAUAAGACGUCAUUGCUAUCUAUUAUAAAUGACGUAAUAUGUACAUUUCGUGCACGUAACAUAACGAUAUAACCGAUACUAUGCUAUCGAGUUUGUGCGUGUGUUAAACACUCAGGUCGACUAAUUAGGGCUGUAUGCCUGUGAACAGGCCGUAAAACAAAGAUGGCGGCUUUCUACAGAGUGACGAUUGUUUUAUCCUAGAAGAUUAAUUUAUUUAUUUCGCCCAAUCAUUAUGGUAAUUAUUUACAUAAAAGUAUUAAAGCUACAACUUUAAAUGGGGUAGGAGUCUAAAGAAACCUUCAUAGGCUUUUAAGGUAAGGCCCUAGUUUAAUGUCCAGUGCAAACUGCAAAGUUUUAUAUUGUGUCAAUCAGUGCCAGUAAAAGUAUUUACAAGAAUAUGAAGAUUAAUACAAUUAAUAUUGCUUUCACUAGUAAGAAUAAAGUACAUAAGGAGAAAAUUUGGAGAGCUAUAAAGACAUAAUCUGUUAAUUACAUGAAUAUGAAUUAGACUUCCUUGUUUAAUUAAAAUAUAAGUUCACUAGAUUGUAUUGACAAUGUCAAUUAUGUAUUUUUUUUAAAGAUUGGUAGUGAUGUUAUUUUUGUCAAGCUAACAUCAAGAUUAUUCUGAACAUCCACUCCUUUCACUGAGAGUGAGUGCUUAGUAUAAUUAGUUCAAUGGCAAUGCAUAUGAAGUUUCGACGAGUUUCGGGUACUGUAUUACUAUUGGUGAAUUUGGCUAUUUGCUAUAAAAAAAUCCGUAAAUGAAUGUGGCAAGUUUUGUAAAUGAUGGUAUCGGAACAUGAAUAAGCUUAUCAUUGCCCGAAGUAACAUCUUAAAGCCUUUUCGUGAGUAACCAUGCAUUGCAUGGUUACUCACGAAAUGGCUUUAAGAUGUUACUUCGAAAAUGGCAUUUGCAGCAUUCUGAGAACACAUUUUGUAAAAAACUAGGUUUUCAAAACACUGUUUUAAUUAAUGGUAUUAAAUUACAAUGUUUUAAUUAAUGGUACUAUUAUAUAAGUGUUAUUUGGUACAAGAUUUUUACAGUUUAUCAAAAUUAUAGGAGGGGCUCGGCCUCCCCCCCCUGCCCCCCCCCCCAGUGUUUGCCACUGGCAGUUGACUGACAGUUGAUUGCAGUAGAGAAGAGACUGCAAUCUGAACAUUCUUUGUCAUAUCAUCAAAUAUAAACAAAGUGACUAGCUGGCAGCUGGGUAUUUAUUAUAGUGACUAUAGUUAAAUAUAAAAAACUUUUGUUUGCGCUAGCUUUCACCGAGCUUGCCGUUAGAGUGUAUGGUAUAGGCACUGUGUGCGGAAAGUGAACUGACUUGUGAACUUGACUUAGCAUUUUUUCUUAGUCACUAUAUAGCCGGCGGCAGUUUACUAAAUAGCUGGUUGCCAGCUGUAUAGUCACUUCGAAAUUUAAAUGUUUACUCAAUAAUUGUGAAUGAAAUUUUUUCAUAGCAACCAUGGAUUUCCUUUGCGCAGAUACAUGUACGCCUAGCGUACCUAUUUUUAAAACUAGUAAUGUUUUAUUCAAACUGGUAAAUAUUUUCAAAGCCCCCCUUCUUUCGUCUCUCUGUAUUUUUUCAAAGCCCCCCCUUUCAGGUUUUAAAAAAUUUAAAGGCCCCCCCCAGUUUCUCCUCAAUCCCCCCCUGUACAAUAAAUAAUGAGGGGUCCCUAAAGCCCGUUCUCCACUAGGCGAAUUUAUUCGCGCGAACAGAUAAAAAGUAGGAAGCGAUCCUACUUUUUCGCCGCGAAUUUUUUCGCCGACCAAUCACGUUGCCGGAUUUCGGUUUUCGCUUCGCGUCGCGCGAACAAAUUCGCCUAGUGGAGAACGGGCUUAAGGUGUGCUUUUAAAGGAUGCAAUGUUUGCUGUGAUUUUCGGCUUUAAUAACACCUCUCGCGAGUCCAGUGGUCAGCUCUCGAGUCGCAUCACAUACGGGACUUUGGGGGCGGGUUUUGGCGGGAAAAUCUGUAAUGUUUGGAGAAGACAAGAUGGCGCUGGUUACCUCGUGUUAUAUCAAAGGGCAUUUUUUUUACAAAUACCCGCUUAUUUUACGUUUUAGCGACUCGUUAGUCUUGAAAAUUAUAACUCAAUGGACAGGGAAAACGAUUCUGUAUUAAGGAGAAAAAGAUGUGCAGUUAUUGUGAUGUUAUUUGUUGUGAAAGACGGCCCGAAAUUUCGCUACUUCGCUUUACUGGUUUAUAAAACAUUUAAAAGCAACAGCAAUUGCACUAUAUCACAAAGGAACCGAUGUAUACAAGCCAAUCAAGUUCUUCAGUUUAAAGGUCAGUUUACUUUUUAAUAAUUAGUUCAUUUAGUUGUAUAUUAAUACGAAGUACUGGAACAGUACGUACGCCGAGUUUGAUUUGCUAUAUUGAAAUUUGUACUGUAGUCGGAAUAAGAUAAGGUAUGGAUAAACAGAGCCCAACCCCUUCUCUAACCCUAACCAAUAAAUGUGUAAUGAACUAUUUGAGAGUUAAAAAGGUUGGGGGGAAAUUUUAAAAUAUUUUAAUGCACAUAUGACAUAUCAACGGCCUGCCCGGGGGUACAUGCACCCCGGGACAAUCGGAGGGAAACGAGGGGGAAUUUGGUAUUUUAUCCGUGUAUUCUGCCCGGGGAAAUUACAAACUUCGCAAUAAUAGGACGACAGGGGGAGGGGAAGUAGGGGACUUUGACGUGACAAUUUGAAUUUUAUAAAUGAACUGCGCAAUUGAUGCGAACUCAAAAUCGCAGGCUCACGGAGAAAAGUAUCGAUCGCAAACUUAUUAUAUUUUGUAGUGGUGUUGCUAAAAUUUGAAUAAAUAAAUACAGAAAACAUGAGUGCCAUUGUGAUACCCCAGUUUGUAUGAUAAUUUUUAGUUGUUUGUAUGCUAUUUAUAUUAUGAACAACUUUAUUCUAAGCCCCAGGGGGAGGGCAGUUUGACUUACACAUUUCCCGGGGGAGGGAAGGGGAAUUAAUGCAUUAGAAUCAUGUUUUUUCAAAGUCCUGGGGGUGUACCCCAGGGCAGGCCGUUGAUAUGUGCAUAAGAAAAAUUUCUACUGUCGGAAACUGUCGUAAUUUAGAAUUAGUAUUUUUUUUCACGCGUGGGAUGCGCGAGUCCAAACUUUAAACACUUCGGAAAGUUCCGGAUUAUACCGGUGGUUGUUGUUUUUUCGAGAAGAGAACUUAAAAACAUGUGGCUGUAAAAUUUUGUAAUAGAUAUUAUACUGUGAUUUGUUGUGAUUUAUUUUGGGAGAUACUUGGAGGUAAUCCCCAACACUACUGGCCAGGGUGCAUUCCAUGUAAACUGUACGCCGGACAUACGCCAACAUAUACGAUCCUUUACGCCAAUACAUCGAAGAUUUUCAGUUUGGGGGGCUUAAAUCCAUGUUUUGAAAACAUCUAAUGUGGUGAUUCAUGAAAUCAGGCACAAACUAAUCACUUGUUUUUGAGUGAUCUCACGCCAUUAUGCCAACAAUUUUGUAACCUCAUGCUGGAUAUAUCUGGUGUGGAGUGCAUGGAAUGCACACUGGUCUACGGGGCUGUUUAUAUGGAAGCCGGACUGGCCCGCUAAACGAGACAGAUUUUAUAUCGCUUGCUGGCCUAGAAAUUAUUUAAUACAUUGGGUCAUUCCAGAAAACAUCCAUACCACCCCCACAGAGGAAAUAGGAAGUUAACCCCCCUUCGGAUGCAGGGUCUUAGCCAGAGGGCCGUGUUGGCAGUGUUAUCGCGGCCAAAAAGGGAAAAACACAGAUAAAAUGAAUGCGGUUUCAUUAUUUAUAUAAGGCUGUGUAGGUUCAUAAAAUAACAGACAGAAUUUCUUCCUAUUCACUGUACGUUGUAAGAAAGUUUGUAAAAUCUACGGUGAUCUGCAUGUGAUGUUUUAAUGUUUUGGUGGAUAAUGGGAACUGUAUGGUGUUACAAUGGUUUUAAAUACCCCCAAGAGUUGCUGAAAAAACUUAAUGUUUUACUGCCGUUCCAAUUGAAGUGUUCCUCAAAUAUCGAUUCAAUACAUUACCUCGGGUUGACCAAUUCAUUUCAUCAAGUUCCUCGAAAUAUUCAUAUACUUCCUAGUAUAAUUGUAAACUUCCUGUUGAAUAGUUUGAAUGCACCAAUCACCUUUGCUGUUUGUGCAACUAACCAAUCAUAAAUAGAAAGGAAGUGACCAGAAAUGAUCAAAUACUUGGAAUUUGGCUCUUUCACAGGAAGUGUAUGAAUAUCUCGAGGAACUUGAUGUUGUAAAAUCCUAGCUAAGCCCAAGUUCUAAAAUCCUAGCUAAGACCCUGUUCGGAUGUCCUAAUACAUUUACUAUUUCAGAACCAUCCUCAGAGAUAUACAAAAAACUAGUUUCAUAUUAUGAGAAACAAUUUUUUCUUCCCUCGCCUUCCAGACAGCAGAAAUUUCCUCUGUGGGGGGAGUAUGGAUGUUUUCUGGAACGACCGAUUGCACUCAAUGGACCAUUUGCAUUAUAGACUAAAUUUUGAACUAAACCGAGGGGGGGGGGGGAGGAAUGUGGAUAUGUUUGUCUGAAGGUUUGAGACUGUGAUAAAGUUAUGUGAUCGGCGAUUAUAAUGAGCACCCAAUUUUUAUCGGCUAUAUGUAGCUCUUGAACACCGGAACGUUUAUGUAACAGCAAUAAUUAUACGUCCAUGUAACUCGUAAGCAAAAUAAGCAGCCCACUUUUGCAUGCAUGGCCACCAAAAACUAACUCGCUGUAACAGUGUAUCUUGCAUGUUGAGAAUGAGUCGAAAAUUGACAUGCUUUAUUCUGCCACAUGUUUGUGUUCGCAAGUCACAAGAAGUCGCCAAGUGUUCCGCCAUGCUGGAGCUAUUUGAAAACAGCGUAGAAAAAUCAGAGUAAGCCAUCGCUAAUUCACUCUACGCUGGAGCGAAAUCGUUUGAAAACUUUCACGUCACGUUUGCCGUAACAAUUUGAGCACGGUUUCUAAAUGGAGCGAGGUGAAAACGGGGGAGCGCUUGAUAGCUUUGUGUGAACACAAACGUGUAAACUCGAAUGCUUUUCAGUUAAAUUUCUUGGGUCUAUUUGAACUAUUAUUCAGUGCAUAUUGUUUGUAUUAAGCUUGUUUUACAAUGUUAUACUGACUAUUUAAUAUUUAUAAGGGACCAUUCAUUAUUUAUGACUGGGGGUGGGCUGGCAAAAAAAGGGGGUGGGUCAUGAGGGUAUUUUUGACCGAAAAGGGGGGACCACCUAAAAAAUAUUGGUUCAGAAGGGGGGUCCAGUUAUUUAUUAUAGUGGUAU